rnacentral:lncRNA from 1 species
UCACCGCUCUCUUCUAUAACAUGAACUCUUCAAGGUUAACCAACCUUGAGCUAAACUCCCCCUGAGUCUAGGCUUCAACCACCAAGUCUCUGAAGGUGCGUCACCAAGUACUUCACCCAAGUACGUCACCGAGUACGUCAGAACCUAACGCACACCAAGGAUACCAACGAGCACGCCAACACCAACGUACAGAUUGAUCACCACACCACAACGGACAACUCUGCUACACGUAACGCCAGCACCAACGUCACAACACCAAGUACAACGGAACACUCCGUCAGACACUACGUCAGACACU